rnacentral:rRNA from 1 species
CGGACGGGUGAGUAAUGCUUGGGAAUCUAGCUUAUGGAGGGGGAUAACUACGGGAAACUGUAGCUAAUACCGCGUAGAAUCGAGAGAUGAAAGUGUGGGACCUUCGGGCCACAUGCCAUAGGAUGAGCCCAAGUGGGAUUAGGUAGUUGGUUAGGUAAAGGCUGACCAAGCCGACGAUCUCUAGCUGGUCUGAGAGGAUGACCAGCCACACUGGAACUGAGACACGGCCCAA